AUGGCUCUUCAGUCUUGGAGUAGCGCACAGAAACAGCGACCAAUCAGCAUCGAGCUCUCUCACAGAGCAGCCAAUAGGAGGCCGCGACCCGCUUGUUGCUGCCUUCGUUACGUCACGAGCUUCUAGACAGUGACGCAGUUUAAAACAAACCAUGAGUGAUGGGAUGGAGGCAUCUUCAUCCGUACUUGGGAUGGUUAUCACACGUCUCAAACAAGAAGAGCAUUUGGGACGACCGUAAGACUGCGACGGCGCUCACAGGAACCGGAAAAGAAAAGAACUGGCGAGUAAACAAACAUGGAGAAAGGUAAAGAACUUAAACUUCUUUCAGACGUCGGGUUUUUCUCAGAGAAACAAGUGGAAGAAAAACCAUCAAAGCCACUGAAGAAAAGGUUUUCCCUAUUGGCUGUUUCAUCAGAGUCUGAUUCUGAACAGGAGGAAGACUCAGUUGAGAAACGUGUGCGUGGAUACAGAACGGAGCCCACCAUCAGUUCAGAGUCGUGUCCAUUAGAGUGCUGGUCCACACAUGCAGGCUCUCACAGCAGGCUGGACAUCGCACAGAAGUACCUGGCCACACCCGCAACAUCUGUAUCUUGGAAGUUCCUUUUCUCUUGCUGGUCAUAUUGUACAGAAGAAAAGAGCUGCUUUAACAUCUGAAACUGUAAAUGUACUUGUGUGUCUUAGCAACUGGUUUGGUGCAGAGAUGUAAAAAAACUAAAGUUGUAGGAAUUGACAAACUGCACUGAAAGUGUUUUCUGUCUGUUUUUGACUGAGAUUGUCGAAAGGAAAUCCAGUAGAAACAUGGACUUCACACACGAGUCUCCUGCACAGUAAAUCUAAGCUGGGAACUGUUUUUUUGAUGAUUGGUACUGAACCGAGACUGGUUAUGCUGCUACCUGAUAAAAGAAAAAUUUUUCUGUUGCUACCUGUUGAAAAAAGAAAAAAAACAGAUAAAUGUUAACUCAGAAGUUGCCUGUUAUAAAGUUAUGUGUUUGUGGUUAUA